GAGGGAAACCGAGUCUUAAUUGGGCGUUAAGUUGCAGGGUAUAGACCCGAAACCCGGUGAUCUAGCCAUGGGCAGGUUGAAGGUUGGGUAACACUAACUGGAGGACCGAACCGACUAAUGUUGAAAAAUUAGCGGAUGACCUGUGGCUGGGGGUGAAAGGCCAAUCAAACCGGGAGAUAGCUGGUUCUCCCCGAAAGCUAUUUAGGUAGCGCCUCGUGAAUUCAUCUCCGGGGGUAGAGC
rnacentral:rRNA from 1 species